rnacentral:rRNA from 1 species
AUUGAACGCUGGCGGCAGGCUUAACACAUGCAAGUCGAGCGGAGUGAUGGUGCUUGCACUAUUACUUAGCGGCGGACGGGUGAGUAAUGCUUAGGAAUCUGCCAUUUAGUGGGGGACAACAUUCCGAAAGGAAUGCUAAUACCGCAUACGUCCUACGGGAGAAAGCAGGGGAGCUUCGGACCUUGCGCUAAAUGAUGAGCCUAAGUCGGAUUAGCUAGUUGGUGGGGUAAAGGCCUACCAAGGCGACGAUCUGUAGCGGGUCUGAGAGGAUGAUCCGCCACACUGGGACUGAGACACGGCCCAGACUCCUACGGGAGGCAGCAGUGGGGAAUAUUGGACAAUGGGCGGAAGCCUGAUCCAGCCAUGCCGCGUGUGUGAAGAAGGCCUUUUGGUUGUAAAGCACUUUAAGCGAGGAGGAGGCUCUCCUAGUUAAUACCUAGGAAGAGUGGACGUUACUCGCAGAAUAAGCACCGGCUAACUCUGUGCCAGCAGCCGCGGUAACAC